rnacentral:lncRNA from 1 species
UCUACCCCAUUAUCCUAGACCCUUUGAUCAUCACCUAACGAUCUAAAGCCUAGUUAAUUCACUUCGCGUUCCCCGUGGAAAUCACGAUACCUGGAAUACUCCCGGUGAAGGCUACAUUGACUACCGUACGCUUGCGGUAUAACCGUUUGCCACUUCUGGUGUCAACACCGCUAAGAACCCUGGUGAUGUCUUAGUGCAUUUAGUGCACCUAGGUUGUGGUACCCUACAAGUAGUUUGAGCACUCGUGUUCUUGUGUGUCACUCUUUUUGAUUCCCCGUCUCUUACCAUGGCGAGUGGAUUGGAAGAGGUAGACCACUUCCCUUUUUCUUCUCUCUUUGUUCCACCCUCUCUUGGCUCUCGCCAACUACAAUAGUGUAUGGAU